rnacentral:rRNA from 1 species
UACAGAGGGGGCAAGCGUUGUUCGGAAUUACUGGGCGUAAAGGGCGCGUAGGCGGCCAACUAAGUCGAACGUGAAAUCCCCGGGCUCAACCCGGGAACUGCGUCCGAUACUGGCAGGCUUGAAUCCGGGAGAGGGAUGCGGAAUUCCAGGUGUAGCGGUGAAAUGCGUAGAUAUCUGGAGGAACACCGGUGGCGAAGGCGGCAUCCUGGACCGGCAUUGACGCUGAGGCGCGAAAGCCAGGGGAGCAAACGGG